AUCAGUGACACCUAGCAGUAUGUAGUACCAACCUAAUAAAAUUGAAAUGAAUCUUUAGGUGUAGUUAAUGUGUGAUUCAGUCUCUCUAUCAUGAAUCCUGACUAAAUAACAAGUCGUGGAUAAAUCGUCAAACCUCAAUAUUAGUCAUAUGAUAGAUUCGAUGAGCUCAAGUCCAGUUGUGACUUCUAUGCAAACUCUUUUUCAUCAAUCAUACUACUGUGGCCAUAGAUUCUCAGACUUAGUCUCUCAAAUCUCAUAGGACUACUCUUUUCUAUCAAGAUCGAUGAUCCCAUCUUGAUGCACACCCUACUCCUACAGUAGACCAACUAUCGUUAAUAUCCACUAUAAGGGCUCAUUG
rnacentral:lncRNA from 1 species